UUAGGGGUAAACUGAGAAACCGAAAGGUCGAAGGAAGAAAUUCAUUCGCGUUUUGACAUUGAAGUUAAGCAAUGUUGUGUGACGGAGAAUGCGUUUAACGUGUUUUUCGCGCCCUUUGCUUUUCGAAUCGAUGACAAACGUGUGCACUUUUCUUCUGGUAGGACGUCGCGAUCCGUUGAGUGUUGGUCUAUGGCUCGCGGUGGAGCCCGUUUGUCGUGUCUUUAAAAACACGUGUACAAGCGGACCCGUGUGUAUCACCUGGCCAACUUGCUCGACGGUAUAAGUGAAAGGUUCGAGGCCGCUUAUUUUUUAGAGCGUUCGACUCAUGGCAAGCGCGCCAGAUGUUUUGUUGAAAUCGGAUCUGAUGCCGGUUUCAACCUCUGGUGACUGUUGGCUAUGAUGUUCUUGAACAGACCUCGUUUUACUGUAAAACCAUUCUGCGGCGCUAUAGCUUUGGGUAAUUUCAGGACCCGUCUUGAAACACGGACCAAGGAGUCUAGCAUGUACGCAAGUCAUUGGGAAUCAUUAAACCUAAAGGCGUAAUGAAAGUAAAGAUCUUCCUUGCGGAGAUCGAGGGAGGAUAAGUGUUUGAUAUUUAUAUGAAAUGCUUCGCACUCCCGGGGCGUCUCAUUCUCAUUGCGAGAGGAGGCGCACUAAGAGCGUACACGCUGGGACCCGAAAGAUGGUGAACUAUGCCUGGUCAGGACGAAGUCAGGGGAAACCCUGAUGGAGGUCCGUAGCGAUUCUGACGUGCAAAUCGAUCGUCGGAACUGGGUAUAGGGGCGAAAGACU
rnacentral:rRNA from 1 species